rnacentral:rRNA from 1 species
UACGGAGGGGGCUAGCGUUGUUCGGAAUUACUGGGCGGAAAGCGCACGUAGGCGGGUUAUUAAGUCAGGGGUGAAAUCCCGGAGCUCAACUCCGGAACUGCCUUUGAUACUGGUAAUCUAGAGAUCGGAAGAGGUGAGUGGAAUUCCCAGUGUAGAGGUGAAAUUCGUAGAUAUUGGGAAGAACACCAGUGGCGAAGGCGGCUCACUGGUCCGAUACUGACGCUGAGGUGCGAAAGCGUGGGGAGCAAACAGG